rnacentral:rRNA from 1 species
GACGAACGCUGGCGGCGUGCCUAAUACAUGCAAGUAGAACGCACAGUUUAUACCGUAGCUUGCUACACCAUAGACUGUGAGUUGCGAACGGGUGAGUAACGCGUAGGUAACCUGCCUGGUAGCGGGGGAUAACUAUUGGAAACGAUAGCUAAUACCGCAUAAUAUUGAUUAUUGCAUGAUAAUUGAUUGAAAGAUGCUAUUGCAUCACUACCAGAUGGACCUGCGUUGUAUUAGCUAGUAGGUGAGGUAACAGCUCACCUAGGCGACGAUACAUAGCCGACCUGAGAGGGUGAUCGGCCACACUGGGACUGAGACACGGCCCAGACUCCUUCGGGAGGCAGCAGUAGGGAAUCUUCGGCAAUGGACGAAAGUCUGACCGAGCAACGCCGCGUGAGUGAAGAAGGUUUUCGGAUCGUAAAGCUCUGUUGUAAGAGAAGAACGGGUGUGAGAGUGGAAAGUUCACACUGUGACGGUAUCUUACCAGAAAGGGACGGCUAACUACGUG